rnacentral:lncRNA from 1 species
CUGCUAGUGGCUUGCUUUAUUUACAGAAGAAAUAUCACAGAUGGAUGAAUUGUUUUACAUUUUGAAAUGCUUACUCUUCAGAUGUAAAUCAUGGGGUGAAAAUAAAACAACACUAGUGAUUAGGUAAAGAUUGCAAAUACUUUUAAUCUUUUCUGUGUUUCACCAGUUGUUUUCCUGAUGCAUUUUAUCUAAAAAUACUGAUUAUUGUGAUGUAAUAAUUCAGUAGUUCUCCAAAGGAAGCACUUUCGUAGAAGCACUUGGCCACAGAACAAGUGAAAAGAGGGUUACACAGACCACUGGAGGUUACUUUAUACCAUGGCAUUUGUGGAAUAUUCAAGUACACUGGAAGAACAUCCUUGAAUGCUUUACCAAUGGGAGAAGAGUUAAAGAGACUUUGAGGAGCAGUUAA